rnacentral:rRNA from 1 species
GACUGUACAAAGGUAGCAUAAUCAUUUGUCUUUUAAUUAGAGUCUGGAAUGAAUGGUUUGAUGAAAAAUUUACUUUCUUUAAUUUAUGAAAAAAAUUUAUUUUUUAGAUAAAAAAGUCUAAAUGUUUUUAGAGGACGAGAAGACCCUAUAAAACUUUAUUAUUAAUAUAUUAAUAUUUUUUUGUUUUUAUUUGUUUUUGAUAUAAAAAUAAUUUUAUUGGGGUGAUAGAAAAAAUUUAAUAACUUUUUUUUUAUUUUGCAUUUAUAGAUGAGAUUUGAUCUUUUAUUAUGGAUAUGAAGAUUAAGUUACUUUAGGGAUAACAGCGUUAUUGUUUUAGAGAGUUCAUAUUGAUAAAAUAGUUUGCGACCUCGAUGUUGGAUUAAAAAUAGGAAUGGGGGUAGAAUAUUAUUUUCUAGGUCUGUUCGACCUUUAAAUUUUUACA